rnacentral:rRNA from 1 species
GUGAGGAAUAUUCGGCAAUGGGGGGAACCCUGACCGAGCAACGCCGCGUGGAGGAAGACGGUUUUCGGAUUGUAAACUCCUUUUCUGUGGGAAGAGCAAGGACGGUACCACAGGAAUAAGUCACGGCUAACUACGUGCCAGCAGCCGCGGUAAUACGUAGGUGGCAAGCGUUAUCCGGAAUUACUGGGCGUAAAGCGCACGCAGGUGGCUUGGUAAGUCUGACGUGAAAGCUCCUGGCUUAACUGGGAGAGGUCGUUGGAGACUGGCAGGCUUGAGGCGAGGAGAGGGGUGUAGAAUUCCCGGUGUAGUGGUGGAAUGCGUAGAUAUCGGGGGGAAUACCAGUGGCGAAAGCGGCACCCUGGCCUUGGCCUGACGCUCAGGUGCGAAAGCGUGGGGAGCAAACGGGAUUAGAAACCCGGGUAGUCC